AAUAGAAGAAGAAGAAGAGAUGGAUAUCUUGUUUCUUGUAUCUUUGUCUCUGUUAAGCCACUAGAUAACUUUAGCUGAGGAGAGAAUGUUGAGGUGGGGGGUGGGGUGUGUGGCUGCAGAGAGGAGCAAGGCAUGCUCCCUCCAGUUCCUGGUUCCCAAGGGGCACAAGAUGGAUCCUGCCUAGGUCUACAGGUCCCAUUGCUGGGGUACAGAGGGGAGACAAGAUUGCGGCUGCAGGCUCGCUGGGGACCACCCCAACAUGAACAAAGAAGUCAUGUGUUAGACCCUUCAUCUGGGGGUUACCCUGAAGAUAUAGCCAAGAUUCACAAAGAAAGACCCACCGAGGCUUCUGAGAGCAGUUUGGGAUUGAGUCUCUCCUCAGCGGGGGUCUGGUUCAGGCUACCCCAGGCUUGCAAAUAGGGGGCUAGAUGGACAGAAGUGACCCACCCCCUACAGAUGCAGGGUUUUCAUCGAAGGGGGUGCUUGCUCUCCACUUCGUGGCCGAAGAACAGCCAUCUCACCCUGAGAAGUCACAUGUGAAAAUACCUUCAUUCUCUCCUUCCUCCAGAACUAGAAUUAGAAGGGAAGAGCAGCGAGCAGGAAGGAUGUAGGAGAUGGAAACUCAUGUCUCCCACCUUCUUAGCUGUGGAAACCCCAAGUUCUAGCUUAGGAAUAUUCACCUUAUAGCAGCAGUUGGCAUACUAUUGCCCACAAGCCAACCCAGCCAGCUGCCUAUUUUUGCAUAUAAAGCUUUGCUGAAACACAGCUACACUUAUUCAUUUAUGUAUUGUCCACAGUUGCUUUCAUGCAUCACCCACAGAGUUGGGUAGUUGUAACAAAGACCAUAUAGCCUGCAAAACCUGAAAUAUUUCCUAUCUGGCUCUUUACAGAAAAAGUUUGGCAACCCCUACUUUAUAGGGUUGUUCUGAGGAUAAAGGACAUAAUUCAUGUAAAUAAACCCUUACCACAGUGCCAGGCAUGGAAUAAGCAUUUACUAAAUUCCAGUGAUUCAUACCAUUGUUGAAUCCAUCAGUGCUCAACAAAAAUAAUAAUAGUAAUAGCUAUGAUAUAUAAAUUUGAAGGAUUCUUCUUAUCGCCCCUCAUAAAUAGCAUAAGUAUGCAAGGUUAAGCUUCAGAACGCAAUGAUGCCUUGCUUUCCUGGCGUCUCCACUGGGGGUUAACCAAGCAUAGUGAGAAAGGAGCUCUGAGUGUGUGUGAGUGUGUGUGUGUGUGUGUGUGUCUUGUCGGGCGCUGGUCACGGGCCUCCAUGGCUGGACAACCAUCUGCUGAGCUGUGCAAUGAUGACAAAUCCACAAUUUGAACUUCAUUUCUCUUUGCCAUUGGCUCUUCCGCCUUGCAACCUUCACAGUAAUGAGAGAUUGGUACAAAUAAGUCUAUGGUUGGUCAGAGAAACCAGAAUUAAUCAGAACUGCCCAUUAAAAAAAAUAAUUGCCUUUAUCACCUGCACUGAAUUUAGGGUUCCUAGAGUUUGGCUGUGAUCCUGACACAAGGUGCAUGGAUCCAAGGUAUCAGGGAAGUCCUAUUAUCCCCAAUAUCUUCAGUCUGGAGAGAAUGUGGAAUGAUUUGUCUCUUUUAAUAAGAUUUCCAGACCAAUUUCUCAAGCUGAUAGAUUCUACUACGCCUCAAACAAGACUCCUAUAUUUCGGGACACUUCUCUGCAUUCGAUUUUCUGGGUCACUCUCUCAUAAUGCCCAGAGGGCUGGGGAAGGUUGCAGGCUUUUCUAAUCCUAAAUCAGAGUCAUCCUUUCACUUGGAUGCCCUAAUUUGUGAGACUACAGCAGCAGCAGAAUGGGUGAAUUCAGCAGGGUGAUGUGCUGGCAAAUGUGGUGUUUGAGCUGCCAGGGAUCAUCAGGGUCUCUCUGCAGCCCGGGACACUGCAUAUAUUCUAGCCAUGGGAAAUAAGAGAAAGAAAGCAGGGGGGCCAUGUUUUCUCUUCCCACUGACCCUUUGGGGCUCAGAAAUGACUCUCAUCAAUAAGAAACAUCCUCUGUGGUUUAGCUCAAGACUGUCCUGGUGUUCAAGUGCUGUAGCUGCACCUGAAUGGAUGCUACCAUUUUGGUUUGCUUAUGUUGUGUAGCAAAAGGUGCGAAAAUGCAUUGGGGUUUCUUCUUGAAGCUCCCUGGAUUCAAAUCGUGGCUCUAUCACUUUCUAGUUUGAAUGGCUUGGCUACAUCUCUUAGCUUCUCCAGUUUGUUAUGAGUGGCUGUGAAUUUUAAUGUCUACUUAGCAUAGGGAUCUGUAUCUAGCAAGUACUCAAUUAAUGUAAGCUGUGAUUAUUAGGCAGUAUGGGGGAGGGUUCCUCAAACCAAGAUGGAUAAAUAGAUGAUUUUUUUCCUCCACUUAGUAGCUUUUAUGAAAAUUUCUCUUUAGGAUAAUACUCAAAGGACUGCCCGUGUGGAAAUUCUGGAUCAGCCAGCUUGGGGUAGCUGUGAAGAUGAGUAGCAUCCUAGAUAUGGGAUACUGCAUGUCAAAAUACAGAGAUCUGUGGGUUGCUCCGAUGAGCUGAAUGACCCAGAAGAUAAAAGAGGAAGGUUGAGAUCACUGUAGAAGCAGUGAGAAACCAGCAAGAAACUGAGCUCGGCUCCCUGGCUCACAUAGACAUGGAACAGAGAUCACAUCUGUGAGUGGAGGAGCCAGACUUUUCAUAUAAGCACAUGUAAAACUUUUGAAGUUGGCUGAUCCAAGAAUAGAUUCAAAUUCUUCAGCCAAGAGUCUAGACCAACUGACUUUUUCCACUUCAUUGCCUAGGCUACAGGUGGCCAACUGUCUUGGCCCCCUAGGACUCACCUCUGUCUGUACCAGGUUGACCCUUUGGGCCCGGAGCUCACGCACGCAGUUGAAGAUGUCCACCACCCCUUCAUUCUCGGCCAUGUCAAGCAUGGUGUCAAUGGCAAUGAAGCAGCCAGUCCGCCCAGCCCCAGCACUGGAAGAGAGCAAAUGGGUUGACGGAUGGAAGCAAAGAAGGAGAGGAGAGAGAACAGAGGGGAGAUGAAUGACAGGACAGAAACGAGAGUCCUCUGAGCUGUCCCCAAGACAGAGAGUGGUUGGUGGAGCACCACGUUCAAAGGCCGGCAUCUGGCUCCACCUGCAGCUGUUUUCGCAGGAUCGUGAAGCAAGAGUGUCAUGAAACUGGAGCAGCUGACCGUCCGGAGACCCUUGUCAGGGAUCAAGUUUCUUGAUACAUACUUACUUGAUUUCUGGUCACUAGUGGCUUCUUUAGGAGAAUCUCAGACCAAGUAUAAAAUGGUAGGGGAACUCAACGAGACUCUAUGGGCCUUGGCCAGCCCUUUCUAGAUCAGUGCUGGGCUCUGAAACAUCAGUGCUGACCAAGAGGCACGUAAGACAUGUGCCUUACACAUGUGCAGUUUUGGAUGGGAAGGCCGGGCAGCCUGUCAAGGAGGCCCCCUUCCGCUGCGUUUUCACAUCUUGCCUUUCUCAUGGAAACAAGUGUCUUUGUCUAACAAUGUAGAUGUCAAAAGACACACAAAGAGGAAGAGAGAUGGAACAAGACAAAAAAGCAAUAUUGGCUCAUGGUAAAUCCAAGGGGCACAGGCCAGUGCGGACCACUACCUACAACAAUUUGGAAAGUACACCCAUUGGAAGCAGAGUCUUCAUUCAUGAGAAACUUUCAUGGUUUGAAUGAAGUCUGACUUAAGUUUGCUUCAGAACCUACUCCCCAAAAUCCAGAUGCGGGGACUCAAGAGACUUGGCCUCUGUGUCUGGGAGGGAGUAUAGGGGGGGUCACUCGUGUUUUUUUCUUCAAUGUUCAUAUUCACCAUGCUUUAGUAUAAAGAAUCAGCCCAAUUUGGUUCCAAAUUUUGGAACAACUAUCAAUCAAUCAGCGGUGACCAAGUUGCCUAGUGUCCGUUUGUUUGUUAGCUUCAGAUUUCUGAUGCUUUUAACAUACCUCCCUGCAGGGUCCUUGUGAGGACAAAGCUGUGUUUAUUUCAUUUCAGCAUCACAUAGUAAUUGAACACAGGAUAUUUGAAAAGACCCCCUAGGAUUAAAUCCUGGCUCUAUUACUUAUUAGCUGCAUGACCUCGGGCAAAUGACUUAACCUCUCUGGGUUUCAAUACUCAUCUAUAAAAUGAUGUUGAUAAUAAUUAAAAUACUCACUCAUCUAUAAAAUGAUGUUGAUAAUAAUUAAUAGAUCCACCUCACAGCAUUAAUAGCACAAUAUGUAUAAAUUGGAUGAAA
rnacentral:lncRNA from 1 species